rnacentral:rRNA from 1 species
GUAUAGGGGAGCCGUAGGGAAACCGAGUCUUAACCGGGCGUUAAGUUGCAGGGUAUAGACCCGAAACCCGGUGAUCUAGCCAUGGGCAGGUUGAAGGUUGGGUAACACUAACUGGAGGACCGAACCGACUAAUGUUGAAAAAUUAGCGGAUGACCUGUGGCUGGGGGUGAAAGGCCAAUCAAACCGGGAGAUAGCUGGUUCUCCCCGAAAGCUAUUUAGGUAGCGCCUCGUGAAUUCAUCUCCGGGGGUAGAGCACUGUUUCGGCUAGGGGGCCAUCCCGGCUUACCAACCCGAUGCAAACUGCGAAUACCGGAGAAUGUUAUCACGGGAGACACACGGCGGGUGCUAACGUCCGUCGUGAAGAGGGAAACAACCCAGACCGCCAGCUAAGGUCCCAAAGUCAUGGUUAAGUGGGAAACGAUGUGGGAAGGCCCAGACAGCCAGGAUGUUGGCUUAGAAGCAGCCAUCAUUUAAAGAAAGCGUAAUAGCUCACUGGUCGAGUCGGCCUGCGCGGAAGAUGUAACGGGGCUAAACCAUGCACCGAAGCUGCGGCAGCGAACGUAUCACCCAAGACAACUUUACGGAGUUGACGAUUGACGGAGCGAAGCGACGUCAAAGCGUUCAUUAAAGUCGAGUUGGCUUAGGGAUACGUUCGUUGGGUAGGGGAGCGUUCUGUAAGCCUGUGAAGGUGUGUCGUGAGGCAUGCUGGAGGUAUCAGAAGUGCGAAUGCUGACAUAAGUAACGAUAAAGCGGGUGAAAAGCCCGCUCGCCGGAAGACCAAGGGUUCCUGUCCAACGUUAAUCGGGGCAGGGUGAGUCGACCCCUAAGGCGAGGCCGAAAGGCGUAGUCGAUGGGAAACGGGUUAAUAUUCCCGUACUUGGUGUUACUGCGAAGGGGGGACGGAGAAGGCUAUGUUGGCCGGGCGACGGUUGUCCCGGUUUAAGCGUGUAGGUGUGUGUUCCAGGUAAAUCCGGUUCACUUUAACACUGAGGCGUGACGACGAGGCACUACGGUGCUGAAGCAACAAAUGCCCUGCUUCCAGGAAAAGCCUCUAAGCAUCAGGUAACACGAAAUCGUACCCCAAACCGACACAGGUGGUCAGGUAGAGAAUACCAAGGCGCUUGAGAGAACUCGGGUGAAGGAACUAGGCAAAAUGGUGCCGUAACUUCGGGAGAAGGCACGCUGACACGUAGGUGAAGUGAUUUACUCAUGGAGCUGAAGUCAGUCGAAGAUACCAGCUGGCUGCAACUGUUUAUUAAAAACACAGCACUGUGCAAACACGAAAGUGGACGUAUACGGUGUGACGCCUGCCCGGUGCCGGAAGGUUAAUUGAUGGGGUCAGCGCAAGCGAAGCUCCUGAUCGAAGCCCCGGUAAACGGCGGCCGUAACUAUAACGGUCCUAAGGUAGCGAAAUUCCUUGUCGGGUAAGUUCCGACCUGCACGAAUGGCGUAAUGAUGGCCAGGCUGUCUCCACCCGAGACUCAGUGAAAUUGAACUCGCUGUGAAGAUGCAGUGUACCCGCGGCAAGACGGAAAGACCCCGUGAACCUUUACUAUAGCUUGACACUGAACAUUGAGCCUUGAUGUGUAGGAUAGGUGGGAGGCUUUGAAGUGUGGACGCCAGUCUGCAUGGAGCCGACCUUGAAAUACCACCCUUUAAUGUUUGAUGUUCUAACGUGGACCCGUAAUCCGGGUUGCGGACAGUGUCUGGUGGGUAGUUUGACUGGGGCGGUCUCCUCCUAAAGAGUAACGGAGGAGCACGAAGGUUGGCUAAUCCUGGUCGGACAUCAGGAGGUUAGUGCAAUGGCAUAAGCCAGCUUGACUGCGAGCGUGACGGCGCGAGCAGGUGCGAAAGCAGGUCAUAGUGAUCCGGUGGUUCUGAAUGGAAGGGCCAUCGCUCAACGGAUAAAAGGUACUCCGGGGAUAACAGGCUGAUACCGCCCAAGAGUUCAUAUCGACGGCGGUGUUUGGCACCUCGAUGUCGGCUCAUCACAUCCUGGGGCUGAAGUAGGUCCCAAGGGUAUGGCUGUUCGCCAUUUAAAGUGGUACGCGAGCUGGGUUUAGAACGUCGUGAGACAGUUCGGUCCCUAUCUGCCGUGGGCGCUGGAGAACUGAGGGGGGCUGCUCCUAGUACGAGAGGACCGGAGUGGACGCAUCACUGGUGUUCGGGUUGUCAUGCCAAUGGCACUGCCCGGUAGCUAAAUGCGGAAGAGAUAAGUGCUGAAAGCAUCUAAGCACGAAACUUGCCCCGAGAUGAGUUCUCCCUGAGACUUAGAGUCUCCUGAAGGAACGUUGAAGACGACGACGUUGAUAGGCCGGGUGUGUAAGCGCAGCGAUGCGUUGAGCUAACCGGUACUAAUGAACCGUGAGGCUUAACCUUACA